AAACUUACGUUGCAGAGGAAACACCAUGACCACAAAGGCAGAUUUCCCAGAGUGAAGCUUAUCCAUCAAAUUCCAGUUGUGUUCACCCUGGCAGUUUCUCUGAACGUGGGAAACCGAACCACAAAAUUUGUGAAUGAAGGGGAGUAAGAUUUCUUUU